rnacentral:lncRNA from 1 species
CCCUACCAGACGCAAACCUGCUGGUGUCCUCAUCUUGGACUUCCAGACUCUGGAACUCUCUGGAUACUUGGAAAUUCUGAGAUGCAUUUGUGGCCAGUCUCCAGCAUGCACACAGGACUUGGAUUAUGCAUUUGUGUGUGACGUCUUACUCUCCCUCCCAGCUGCUCCUUUUGUCUAUUAUUCUAAGACCUGUCUGAGGUAUGCAUACACUUCUGCAAGC